GACGAACGCUGGCGGCGUGCUUAACACAUGCAAGUCGAACGGAAAGGCCCUGCUUUUGUGGGGUGCUCGAGUGGCGAACGGGUGAGUAACACGUGAGUAACCUGCCCUUGACUUUGGGAUAACUUCAGGAAACUGGGGCUAAUACCGGAUAGGAGCUCCUGCUGCAUGGUGGGGGUUGGAAAGUUUCGGCGGUUGGGGAUGGACUCGCGGCUUAUCAGCUUGUUGGUGGGGUAGUGGCUUACCAAGGCUUUGACGGGUAGCCGGCCUGAGAGGGUGACCGGCCACAGUGGGACUGAGAUACGGCCCAGACGCCUACGGGAGGCAGCAGUGGGGAAUAUUGCACAAUGGGCGGAAGCCUGAUGCAGCAACGCCGCGUGCGGGAUGACGGCCUUCGGGGUGUAAACCGCUUUCGCCUGUGACGAAGCGUGAGUGACGGUAAUGGGUAAAGAAGCACCGGCUAACUACGUG
rnacentral:rRNA from 1 species